GUAGAUAUGGCCCAGUGGUUAAGAGCACUUGCCGCUCUUGGACCUGGGUUCAAUUCCCAGCAUCUACA
rnacentral:tRNA from 1 species